rnacentral:rRNA from 1 species
UUAACACAUGCAAGUCGAGGGGCAGCAUGGUCUUUUCUUGCUAAGGCCGAUGGCGACCGGCGCACGGGUGAGUAACACGUAUCCAACCUGCCGUCUACUCUUGGACAGCCUUCUGAAAGGAAGAUUAAUACAAGAUGGCAUCAUGAGUCCGCAUGUUCACAUGAUUAAAGGUAUUCCGGUAGACGAUGGGGAUGCGUUCCAUUAGAUAGUAGGCGGGGUAACGGCCCACCUAGUCUUCGAUGGAUAGGGGUUCUGAGAGGAAGGUCCCCCACAUUGGAACUGAGACACGGUCCAAACUCCUACGGGAGGCAGCAGUGAGGAAUAUUGGUCAAUGGGCGAGAGCCUGAACCAGCCAAGUAGCGUGAAGGAUGACUGCCCUAUGGGUUGUAAACUUCUUUUAUAAAGGAAUAAAGUCGGGUAUGGAUACCCGUUUGCAUGUACUUUAUGAAUAAGGAUCGGCUAACUCCGUGCCAGCAGCCGCGGUAAUACGGAGGAUCCGAGCGUUAUCCGGAUUUAUUGGGUUUAAAGGGAGCGUAGAUGGAUGUUUAAGUCAGUUGUGAAAGUUUGCGGCUCAACCGUAAAAUUGCAGUUGAUACUGGAUAUCUUGAGUGCAGUUGAGGCAGGCGGAAUUCGUGGUGUAGCGGUGAAAUGCUUAGAUAUCACGAAGAACUCCGAUUGCGAUGGCAGCCUGCUAAGCUGCAACUGACAUUGAGGCUCGAAAGUGUGGGUAUCAAACAGGAUUAGAUACCCUGGUAGUCCACACGGUAAACGAUGAAUACUCGCUGUUUGCGAUAUACAGCAAGCGGCCAAGCGAAAGCGUUAAGUAUUCCACCUGGGGAGUACGCCGGCAACGGUGAAACUCAAAGGAAUUGACGGGGGCCCGCACAAGCGGAGGAACAUGUGGUUUAAUUCGAUGAUACGCGAGGAACCUUACCCGGGCUUAAAUUGCAGAUGAAUUACGGUGAAAGCCGUAAGCCGCAAGGCAUCUGUGAAGGUGCUGCAUGGUUGUCGUCAGCUCGUGCCGUGAGGUGUCGGCUUAAGUGCCAUAACGAGCGCAACCCUUGUUGUCAGUUACUAACAGGUUCCGCUGAGGACUCUGACAAGACUGCCAUCGUAAGAUGUGAGGAAGGUGGGGAUGACGUCAAAUCAGCACGGCCCUUACGUCCGGGGCUACACACGUGUUACAAUGGGGGGUACAGAGGGCCGCUACCACGCGAGUGGAUGCCAAUCCCCAAAACCUCUCUCAGUUCGGACUGGAGUCUGCAACCCGACUCCACGAAGCUGGAUUCGCUAGUAAUCGCGCAUCAGCCACGGCGCGGUGAAUACGUUCCCGGGCCUUGUACACACCGCCCGUCAAGCCAUGGGAGCCGGGGGUACCUGAAGUGCGUAACCGCGAGGAGCGCCCUAGGGUAAAACUGGUGACUGGGGCUAA